AAGUGCGACGGCGUACUUUUUGUAGAACGGUCCGGCGAGUUACGAUUGCAGGCAAGGUUAAGCACUUCAGGUGUGGAGCCGAAGGGAAACCAAGUCUUAAUAGGGCGUCUUAGUCAGUAGUCGUAGACCCGAAACCGGGUGACCUAUCCAUGUGCAGGUUGAAGUUACCGUAAAAGGUAAUGGAGGACCGAACUCACAUCUGUUGAAAAAGGUGGAGAUGACGUGUGGAUAGCGGAGAAAUUCCAAUCGAACCCGGAGAUAGCUGGUUCUCCUCGAAAUAGCUUUAGGGCUAGCCUUGAUUUAGUCUACCGGAGGUAGAGCACUGAAUUGUCUAGGGGGCUUCACAGCUUACCGAAACAUAUCAAACUCCGAAUGCCGGAUAGAUGAUGAUCAGGAGUCAGACCAUGGGAGAUAAGUUCCAUGGUCAAAAGGGAAAGAGCCCAGACCACCAGCUAAGGUCCCAAAGUGUGUGUUAAGUGGAAAAGGAUGUGGGAUUUCGAAGACAACUAGGAUGUUGGCUUAGAAGCAGCCAUACAUUCAAAGAGUGCGUAAUAGCUCACUAGUCGAGAGGUCCUGCGCCGAAAAUGUCCGGGGCUAAAACACACCACCGAAGCUGUGGAUUGAUGCGUAAGCAUCAGUGGUAGAGGAGCAUCGUUAACGAGUUGAAGCUGUACCGUAAGGAGCAGUGGAUUGUUAACGAGAGAGAAUGCCGGAAUGAGUAGCGAGAGAGAAGUGAGAAUCUUCUCGGCCGAAUAUCCAAGGUUUCCAGAGUAAAGCUGAUCUUCUCUGGGUAAGUCGGGACCUAAGGUGAGGGCGAAAGCCGUAGCCGAUGGACAACUGGUUGAGAUUCCAGUACCGCAUAUGAACAGAACUGUGGGGACGCAGAAGGAUAGGAAGAGCCAGGAAUGGAAAAACUGGUGCAAGCGCAAAGGCUGUGUGGCAGGCAAAUCCGCCGCACUGAGGCUGAAGCGUGACGCGGAGCGAAAUAAAGUAGUGAAGCUUCCGAAUCCAAGCUGCCAAGAAAAGCCGCUAUUGUUUCAUAUGUGCCCGUACCGUAAACCGACACAGGUAGAUGAGGAGAGAAUCCUAAGGCCGACGGGAGAAGCGUUGUUAAGGAACUCGGCAAAAUGACCCCGUAACUUCGGGAGAAGGGGUGCCUGCUUAGGCAGGCCGCAGAGAAUAGGCCCAAGCGACUGUUUAGCAAAAACACAGGUCUCUGCAAAACCGAGAGGUGAAGUAUAGGGGCUGACGCCUGCCCGGUGCUGGAAGGUUAAGGGGAAUGGUUAGCACUUGAUGCGAAGCUAUGAACUUAAGCCCCAGUAAACGGCGGCCGUAACUAUAACGGUCCUAAGGUAGCGAAAUUCCUUGUCGGGUAAGUUCCGACCCGCACGAAAGGCGUAACGAUUUGGGCACUGUCUCGACAACGCGCCCGGUGAAGUUGUAGUACCGGUGAAGAUGCCGGUUACCCGCGACAGGACGGAAAGACCCCAUGGAGCUUUACUCUAGCUUGAUAUUGGGAUUCGAUAUUACAUGUACAGGAUAGGAGGGAGGCUAUGAAGCGAGAACGCCAGUUUUCGUGGAGCCGCUGUUGGGAUACCUCUCUUGUAGUAUUGGAUUUCUAACCAUGCACCCUCAACGGGUGUUGGGACACUGUCAGGUGGGGAGUUUGACUGGGGCGGUCGCCUCCGAAAGGGUAUCGGAGGCGCUCAAAGGUCCUCUCAGAAUGGUUGGAAAUCAUUCGCAGAGUGCAAAGGCAUAAGAGGGCUUGACUGUGACACCGACGGGUGGAGCAGGUACGAAAGUAGGACUUAGUGAUCCGGUGGUAGAAAGUGGGAUUGCCAUCGCUCAACGGAUAAAAGCUACCCUGGGGAUAACAGGCUUAUCACUCCCAAGAGUUCACAUCGACGGAGUGGUUUGGCACCUCGAUGUCGGCUCAUCGCAUCCUGGGGCUGUAUUCGGUCCCAAGGGUUGGGCUGUUCGCCCAUUAAAGCGGUACGCGAGCUGGGUUCAGAACGUCGUGAGACAGUUCGGUCCCUAUCCGUCGUGGGCGCAAGAUAUUUGAGAGGAGCUGUCCUUAGUACGAGAGGACCGGGAUGGACUGACCUCUGGUGUAUCUGUUGUCUUACCAAAGGCAUAGCAGAGUAGCCAAGUCGGGAAGGGAUAAACGCUGAAGGCAUCUAAGCGUGAAGCCCCCCUCAAGAUAAGAUAUCUCAUCCGAAAGGAGUAAGACCCCUGGAAGACUACCAGGUUGA
rnacentral:rRNA from 1 species